rfam:Aedes albopictus isolate Foshan contig73642, whole genome shotgun sequence.
UGCCCAGCAACUCCUAUCCCUACCUCCUCGUGGUACCGACCGGAAACUAUGAGCAACCUUAGGGAAGAUCGGGUAACCAACCCCGGUGGGAACUUUGGUCGUAGGCUGACAGGGAAGG